GGCCAGACUCCUACGGGAGGCAGCAGUGGGGAAUAUUGCACAAUGGGGGAAACCCUGAUGCAGCGACGCCGCGUGAGUGAAGAAGUAAUUCGUUAUGUAAAGCUCUAUCAGCAGGGAAGAAAAUGACGGUACCUGACUAAGAAGCCCCGGCUAACUACGUGCCAGCAGCCGCGGUAAUACGUAGGGGGCAAGCGUUAUCCGGAUUUACUGGGUGUAAAGGGAGCGUAAACGGCAUGGCAAGUCUGAUGUGAAAGCCCGGGGCUCAACCCCGGGACUGCAUUGGAAACUGUCAGGCUAGAGUGUCGGAGAGGCAAGUGGAAUUCCUAGUGUAGCGGUGAAAUGCGUAGAUAUUAGGAGGAACACCAGUGGCGAAGGCGGCUUGCUGGACGAUGACUGACGUUGAGGCUCUAAAGCGUGGGGAGCAAACAGGAUUAGAUACCCGGGUAUC
rnacentral:rRNA from 1 species